UGUUUCACGACAUUAAAAAAUUAUGGCAGGUAGUUUUAUUACAUUUACACUCGGCAACACUUGGAAAAUGGCAUAAGCAUCACAAACGUCAAACGACAAAAGCAAUAUGGCGUUUUCUUUGUCUUCGUAUGGAGUUAUUAUUAAUGUUUUCCAAGCUUAAAACGAUUUUUAAAUAGUGUCGUUUGUAAAAUGGUUAACAAUAUAUGUGCUGUGAGUGGCUGUGGGAAAGAAUCGUACCCUGGCUGUGGAUUAUCUUUUCACAGUUUGCCUUCAGAUUUAGAGCUAAAGAAAAAGUGGUUAGAGGUGAUACCCGGCAACUUACGUCAAAGCUCUGUAGUUUGUUCACUUCAUUUCAAACCGGAAGAUUAUCGAACAGAAGCUCGGAAAAGGUUGAAACCUGGAGUGACUCCUUCUAUCUUUCCAAAGAUUUUUCCCGAAAAUAAAAAAAAUGAAGUGUUAAGCGAUAUACGCUUAAAAACUAAAAAAUGAAGAACCUGGAUCUUCUAAAAGUCCUCCAAGGAAGAAAAUAAA